rnacentral:tRNA from 1 species
GUGGCAAUAGCUCAGUAGUAGAGCCCCAGCUUCGCAUGCGGGGGGACCCGGGUUCGCUUUCCGGUUGCUUCC